rnacentral:rRNA from 1 species
GACGAACGCUGGCGGCGUGCCUAAUACAUGCAAGUAGAACGCUGAAGGAGGAGCUUGCUUCUCCGGAUGAGUUGCGAACGGGUGAGUAACGCGUAGGUAACCUGCCUGGUAGCGGGGGAUAACUAUUGGAAACGAUAGCUAAUACCGCAUAAGAGUAGAUGUUGCAUGACAUUUGCUUAAAAGGUGCAAUUGCAUCACUACCAGAUGGACCUGCGUUGUAUUAGCUAGUUGGUGGGGUAACGGCUCACCAAGGCGACGAUACAUAGCCGACCUGAGAGGGUGAUCGGCCACACUGGGACUGAGACACGGCCCAGACUCCUACGGGAGGCAGCAGUAGGGAAUCUUCGGCAAUGGACGGAAGUCUGACCGAGCAACGCCGCGUGAGGGAAGAAGGUUUUCGGAUCGUAAAGCUCUGUUGUAAGAGAAGAACGAGUGUGAGAGUGGAAAGUUCACACUGUGACGGUAUCUUACCAGAAAGGGACGGCUAACUACGUG